GGAAAAAAAAGGAAAAAAAGAAGAAAACCUUCACUCACAUCCACCACCAGGCAGCCAAGGGAACCAAGCCUCCGAACAUGGCACUUCAGCAAAGUGAUCUGACCCACACCAUACACAACCCCUAAGCCUUUUCAUGCCAAGCACAGUCAGAAGGAAACAUGCUGGUACGGUGAAGAUAUGAUUGGUGCGUAUGCAGCUACAGAGUCAGAACUUUACUUAUAGAAGAACUUAACUGGU